rnacentral:tRNA from 1 species
UAGGGUGUAGCUCAUUGGUAGAUCACUUGCUUAGCAUGUGCAAGGCCCUGGGUUUGAUCCCCAGCACCACAG